rnacentral:misc_RNA from 1 species
CCAAAAUGGCUGAAAAACAACAGUUCUUGGUCUAAGAAUAAUAAAAAUCAAAUUAUCAAUAUGUUCAGCAGCCAUGACGAUCAACAUGAAUAUACAGAUGUGGGGACUCCACAGCACAUGGUUGCUAGUAAUUCAGGUACACGUUGCCAAGCAAUUUUAUGAAGGUGUUAGCUAGGAAAAUACUUUCUAUUACCAUGUUUUAAUGCAAGCAAAAUGUUCAAUUUUGCCCCUGUACUUAUUGGAGAACAUCAAUUUAGCCCAACUUUAACUUUUUGUCCAAAUUAACCAAAAAUUUUCAAUUUAAACUCAAUUUAGCCCAAAAAUUAUAAUUUAUGCGCUAAAUUUCUAGAUUUCUUGAUUUAAAUAAAAAAAAAAGAAAUUCAUUCUUAAUUUUUAAGGUAAAUUUCUUGAUUUAAGCCCAAAAAUCAAAAAGGUUAAUUUCUUAACUUUCUUGAUUUUAGGGCUCACUGGAGCUUAAAUUGGAACUUUUGGGUUAAUUUGGGCAAAAAGUUGAACUACAAGGUUGAAAUUGAGCUUUAAGCCUUUUAUAGCACAUUAAACUAAACAAUGGGGAUUAACUUCCCCUUUCCCAAUUCUCAUAAACACUCCACCCCAGUCUAUUAGAAUAUUACUAUAUUAGAAUAUAAUAUGUAAGUUAAUAAAUUGCACAAACUCUUAAAUACAUUCAGCAACUGCACUGCAUUCUGCAUAACACGGGAAGAGUUAACUUUCUCUGAAAUAAAUUAAUAAAAUAUGUACUAUAUCCAUUAACCCAUAGCUUUGCAAUAAUCAACUCACUUGUAGUUAUCACAUGAAUAAACUAAAGCGCAAUUUUUGACUUGUCAUCUCUUCUAUAAAUACUGAACAAUUUUGUAAGAGCGUGAAAAUGAACAAGAUGACAAAAAUCCAAGGGGAAAAA